AAUGGCCUAACGGCUGAACCAGCAACUUGGAGGAAUGUAUAGCAAUUGCUAAUUGUAUCAAUCACAAUAUCGACUUAGUCGAAUAAAAUUCUAGGUAAAACUAUGAUAAUGACAUUAUUUACCUAUAUGUCUUGACCAAAUUACGUGCCAGCAGUCGCGGUAAUACGUAGAAGACUAGUGUUAUUCAUCUUUAAUAGGUUUAAAGGGUACCUAGACGGUAAAUAAAGCCUUCUGGGACUAAUUUACUAGAGUUAAAUGUGAGGGAGUUUUAAUGUACUAGAGGUGAAGAGAUGAAAUUCUGUCAUACCUUUUUUCUUUAGAAAAACUUGGCACAGGUAUAGGUGAAAACAUCUCCUUAUGUAAUAGCUUUUUAUCGCGAACAGGAUUAGAUACCCUGGUAGUCAAAGCAGAAAAUGAUGAGUGUCAUAGAUUAAUUUAUUCUAUAAAUGAAAGUGUAAGCACUCCACCUCAAGAGUAAUUUGGCAACAUUGGAACUGAAAUCAUUAGACCGUUUCUGAAACCAGUAGUGAAGUAUGUUGUUUAAUUUGAUAAUCCGCAAAGAACCUUACCAUGAAUGUUUACAAGUGUUGCACGGCUGUCUUCAGUUAAUGUCGUGAGACUAUGGUUAGCUCCAUUAAAUUAACGUAAACCCUUGCUUUAUUUUUAAAUAGAGCAGUUCUCCACUAUAUUGGAUAAGAUAACAGGGACUAAGACAAGUCAUCAUGGCCUGAAUGUU
rnacentral:rRNA from 1 species